CUCGAUAAUGGCAAACCCCGAGUAAUUGGGGGACGCAAAGCCACAGAUCCCGCGAGGGAUGGCUGGGCCGUCGAAG
rnacentral:ncRNA from 1 species